GCGGAUGUGGCGGAAUAGGCAGACGCGCUAGAUUCAGGUUCUAGUGAGAGCAAUCUCAUGUGGGUUCAAGUCCCUUCAUCCGCACCA
rnacentral:tRNA from 1 species